GUCUUUUAUCCCUUGUCACCCCCCACCCUUUCCCCAGAGUCCCCAGAGUCCAAUAUAUCAUUCUUAUCUCUUUAUGUCCUCAUAGCUUACCUUCCACAUAUGAGUGAGAACAUACAAUUAAAAACAUAAAUUUAUUUCUCAUAGUUCUGGAGGUUAGGAGCCCAAGACAAGGGUGCCAACAGUUUUGUUAUCUGGGGAAGGCUGCUCUGUGUUCCAAGAUGAUGUCUUGAACAGUGAGUCCUUUGGAGGGAAGGAAGGCUGUGUUCUUACAUGGCAGAAGGUCAAAGGGCAAAAAGGCCUAACACUGCAUGGAACUUUUUUAAAAGCUUUUUAAUUCCAUUCAUGAGAGAGGAGCCCUCAUGAUGUAAGUAAUCACUUCUUGAAGACCACACUUCUUAAUAUUUACAUUGGCAGCAUAUAAAAUUUAGAGGGAAUGUAUUCAAACCAUAGCAAUGUCCCACACUCAAAUCAUCCUAAAAUUUCAAGGCCUAUCCUCUGAGUUCAAUAUCUGGUCCAUUUGUGGUAGACUACCCACCAGCACCAUAUAGGGGAAAGUGACACUAGACUUCUUUGGGACUAUUAAAACUGAAGUUACCUUCUCAUUUUCUCAUAGGAGGGAGGAGAAAAAUUCCCACCCUAUCCUCACAGCUGCCUAAGUGAAUAACCACUCAAUCAAAAAUGGAAUCUGGAGUAAAGAAGUUGUGAAACAAGGCAAACAGAAACGCUUUGCACCAAUCCCAUGACCCAAAAACAUGCCGAUACAAAUGGUUCAAUACAGCAAGAUCCAUAAUAACAAGGGUACUGAGUUCUAUAGGAGACUGAAGAUGAAGUAGUUCACUGAACUUGAAGUUCCAUCAAGUUGGUUGAAGAUGUGGAGUGAAAGAUUAUUAAAAUAUUCAUAAUCAAAGCUUGGAGAGAUAAUGGAAAUAUUUGAGGACAAAAUUAAGAUUUCAAGAUGAAUGAUGGCUAGAAAUAAUCAAAUAUCAGCAUGGGCCUGUGACCUUCUGUGACUGAUAAAAUAGUCCAGCUUCCAAAAGGAGAGAAAGAAGACAAAA